rnacentral:rRNA from 1 species
ACCCCACUAUGCUUAGCCCUAAACUUAGAUAUUUUCCACACAAAAAUAUCCGCCAGAGAACUACGAGCAUAAACGCUUAAAACUCUAAGGACUUGGCGGUACCUCAAACCCUCCUAGAGGAGCCUGUUCUAUAAUCGAUAAUCCACGAUCUACCUCACCAUCCCUUGCCAAACCCGCCUAUAUACCACCGUCACCAGCUUACCCCAUGAGGGGUACAAAAGUAAGCAAAAUAACCUAAACAGUUAAUAAGUCAGGUCAAGGUGUAGCUAACUGAGAUGGAAGAAAUGGGCUACAUUUUCUACUUUAGAAAUAACCACGGAAGAAUACCAUGAAAUAGGUUCCACAAGCAGGAUUUAGCAGUAAACUGGGAACAGAGAGCCCAAUUUAAGCCGGUCCUGAGGUACGCACACACCGCCGUCACCCU